ACCACAACGGCAGAACUGAGCAGUUGUGAUGGAGAUGAUAUGGCCCAUAAAGACAAAAAUAUUUGCAAUUUGGCCCUUAACUCAAAAUGUUGCCAACCCAUGAUCACUCAAUUAUUUAAGUGGUUGGAUAAGAGAGCCAAGUAAAAUAGAUGUCACUACAUUGUCGUUGCCCGAAGCAGUGCCCACCCACAAGUGUCUGUGGCCACAAGGCGUAACCAUGGCAUAAAACAACAUGGAGAGGACUGGCAAAAUCUAGUCUUCUGAGAAGGACAAGGCUUCCCCGGAUUUCUGUAGAUUAUUUUCAAACCCUGUUCCUCAAACCAUCCUCAAUCUGUAUGAAUAUCACAAACUUGUAGCUUUUCCCUUACAAAUUUAUUGUUAUUUCUUUUACCUCUUUCUUUCUUUCUUUUUUUUUUUUUUUUUUGUCCUCAGGAAAAAACGUAAUUAGGCUAUAAACAGAGGUCUGACAACUAAUUUCAGUCAAGGCAAAAUUAAUACAAAGCAAGCAGAUAAUUUUAGUCAUGUGAAAUUAAAAUAGAUAUAUUUUAAUGACAGUCUGAAAAAUCCCAGUCUGAUGUUUUGCCCUUUGCUUCCCCCACCUUCCCUCAUUCACAUGCGAUCCCCUACUCUGCCUAGUAGUGACACAUGCUGAUUCGGGGAACUACCACCUCACUGCUAUCGCUGUCCUCAAGGCUCCUUCCUCCCAUCCCCACUAUUGACCUCUGGGUGCAGAGCUGCUGCUUUCCUUUCCUUCUAGGGGUUCCUCUACACUGAAAAGACAGAACCAUCUGAGGAAAAGGGAGUCGUUUUCUACCCCUGGAAUUUCCAAAUUUUCUUAUGGACAUUAAUAAGAUCCAGUAAGAUAAAUCUAUAUUCAGCAUCUUAAGAAUUUAAAAGUUGGAGUUUCCGUCGUGGCUCAGCAGAAACGAAUCUGACUAGCAUCCAUGAGGACGCAGGUUCAAUUCCCUGGCCUCACUCAGUGAGUUAAGGAUCUGGUGUUGCCAUGAGCUGUGGUGUAGGUCGCAGACCCGGCUGGGAUCUGGCAUUGCUGUGGCUGUGGUGUAGGCCAGUGACUAGAGCUCCGAUUCAAUCCCUAGCCUGGGAACCUCUGUAUGCCGUGGGUAUGGCCCUAAAAAGACAAAAAGAAUUUUUUUUUUUUUAAGUUAGCAGCACCAUGGGUGUGGGUGGGCGUGCAUGCAUGUAUUUCUGGGGUAGGGGGGCUGGUUGCCAAUAUUGCUGUGUUCUGUCACUCCAAGAACAUAUUAAAUACACAUCUCAGUGUCAGCAGCACCUUGAGAUGUUACCUCCAAAAUUAUCACCUGCCUUCUGAAAACCAUAACCCUAAAAAUAUUGAUUGGUUAAAAGGCAGGAUCUGAAGGAAUGAGUUAGUGUCUCUGUAGAUUAUCCUAAUCAAAUAAGGAGAGUAUUAACCUCCCUACUCACUGAUCUGCCAGUAUUUGGUUUGAAAUGUAGGCAUCUCAAGUAAAGUUAUGUGUUUCAUUCUUUUGAAUAUUUCUCCCAGACAUUUAAAUACAUUACCACUAAGCCAGAACCAAGAAAAGCAUAAAAAGCAUUUUAAGGAAUAAAUUCAGCAAGUUUCCAUUUGUACCAGAUAGUAAAAUUGUUGACAUGCAUUAUGAGGCAUGUGUAUUUUUCAGCCUGUCGGGUUUCAGUCACACGCUCUGGGUGGAAUAUUUCGGCUGCCAGGGGUUGUGUAGAAAGGUCUCAGACCAUUUAGGGAGUAAUGCUUCCUAAUGAAUAGACAAAGAGUUUCCAAGCCACCUGGCCUAGCUAUCUAGGCAAGUCAGAAGAAAAGCUGAUUUCAUUAAUUAUGCUAUAAAUGUAACUUCAAUGAAGGGUAGCCAGCUAAAUACAAGAUGAAAGGACUAGUAGGGAUUCUCUGCAUCGAAGUGUUGAGCUUUAUGCAGUUUUAUUUAGAGGCACUUCCAUUUCUAAGGAGGCUAUGAGUUGAUCGACUGUGUCUGGAAUUAACUACAGUGGUGAAAACACAAAUUGCAAACCAGCGUGAAGUCACAAAGGGAAAGGAAGGAAGAGAAGUAAAAAGUCAGGGACUCAUACAUACUCUUCAUUUUCCUUUAGGAAAAAUAAGUACUGGACCAGCUGCCCUGAGUCCCACAUUAGUGGGAGCAAGCCUAAUUGUUGUUAGGCAGAGGGCCUAAUGAGAAGUGCUACACACACGGCCUUCCUUUCUAUUUCCAUUUGCUUCUGUUUGCAGAGCAGUCUGGAUUUUUCUUGGAGGCAAAUGAUUAUGUUCCCUCUACUUGAUGUGCUAGCAUGAAAUAUGGCUGGUAAGGAAAGGGAGGACCCAGGCUGGAGAGACUUUGGCCACAAAUUAUUUGCAUGGGCCAUUGAGGAAGGUUCCAAUGUAAUAUUGUUGGUAAUAGGGGGAAGAGGUGACAAGGGCUUGGAGCCUGUUUAACCACCAUCUCUGAAGCCUUUUGUAGGUACUCUUCUCUCCUCCCUCCCAGGGAAUCUUAAUCAGAGCAUUCUCAGUGCUGCCUUUGUCCUUUUCAAUGGAGAAGUCUAACACCGAUCCAAAGUAAGCUUUAAUCCUCACAAGAAAGUGAUAAUACGUUUCCCCCUUUUCCUGAUUUCUUGACUGAUUUUUCUCAAGAAAAAGAGAGUUUCCUCAUGAAAACAGUAAUCUCUACCUAUUGAAGGAUAAUUUUUCAUAUUCUGUUAUGUACAUCUUUGUGUUUUCUAUGGUGACAUUGGGAUAUAUUUGUUGACUAGACCAAUAAUUGUUAAAUAAACCAUGAAGAUAUUUAGCUUUUAUUUUUAUAUCCCUUUCAGUUUGUCAAGUGAUUCCACGGCUAUUAGCUCUUCUGCAGCUAGAAGUUAGACCUACAGGAGUUCCCACCGAGGUGCAGUGGAAACAAAUCCAACUAGGAACCAUGAGGUUGUGGGUUCAAUCCCUGAACUCAUUCAGUGGGUUAAGGAUCGGGCAUUGCCGUGAGCUGUGGUAUAGGUUGCAAAUGAGGCUCGGAUCCUGCAUUGCUGUGGCUGUGGUGUAGGCCAGCAGCUGUAGCUUGGAUUUGACCCCUAGCCUGGGAACCUCCAUAUGCCAC
rnacentral:lncRNA from 1 species